rnacentral:rRNA from 1 species
AGAGUUUGAUCCUGGCUCAGGACGAACGCUGGCGGCGUGCCUAACACAUGCAAGUGGAGCGACGAACCGGGCUUCGGCCCGGGGCAGAGCCGCGAACGGGUGAGUAACACGUGGGUAACGUGCCCCGAUGAUUGGGACAACCCGAGGAAACUCGGGCUAAUACCAAAUGUGCCCUCCAGCCAUAAGGCUGCCGGGGAAAGGAAGCUUCGGCCUCCGCAUCGGGAUCGGCCCGCGGCCCAUUAGCUUGUUGGUGGGGUAAUGGCCUACCAAGGCGACAAUCCGUAGCUGGUCUGAGAGGACGACCAGCCACACCGGAACUGAGACACGGUCCGGACUCCUACGGGAGGCAGCAGUGGGGAAUAUUGGACAAUGGGGGAAACCCUGAUCCAGCGACGCCGCGUGUGUGAAGAAGGCCUGCGGGUUGUAAAGCACUUUUAG